rnacentral:rRNA from 1 species
GAUGAACGCUGGCGGCGUGCUUAACACAUGCAAGUCGAACGGACAGGCCAUGAUUUUGUGGGGUGCUCGUGAGGCGAGCGGGUGAGUAAAACGUGAGUAAACCGCCCUUGAAUUUGGGGUAAAUUUUGGAAAAUCGGGCUCAUACCGGGUAGGAGCUAUUGAUGCAUGGUGUGGGUUGGAAAGUUUCGGUGGUUGGGGAUGGAAUAGCGGCGUUUCAGAUAGUUGGUGUGGUAGUUAAUUAACCAGGCUAUGAUGGGUAGCAGACAUGACUGGGUGAUCGGCCACCCUGGAAGGGAGAACCGGUCCAGAGUACUAAGGGAGGCAGCAGUAGGGAAUCUGCCGCAAUGGGCGGAAGAUUGACGGAGAAACGCCGCGUGAGUGAUGAAGGUCUUCGGAUCGUAAAACUCUGUUAUUAGGGAAGAACACAUGUGUAAGUAACUAUGCACGUGUUGACGGUACAUGAUCAGAAAGCCACGGCUAACUACGUG